CAUCACAGCGUCAUCGGCAUCCUCCACUUCAGCAGAGACUAGUGAAAACAAGAAGUGAUCUUAUGGAUGCUCUAGGCAUUGUUUGUGUUUUGCAAGAACGCAGAGCAUCUUUGCAGUUAUGCUUUUCUUAUGGUGAAAACAAGAACUGAUCUUAGUGCAUGUAGCUUCAUCGUCUGCUGCAUGUUGACUAUUAUUUAGCUACAUCUUUUUUGUAAGAGAACUUGAUAGGCAGCAUAUAUUAUCUGAAUUGUCUGUUACAUGUU
rnacentral:sRNA from 1 species